GAUGAACGCUGGCGGCGUGCUUAACACAUGCAAGUCGAACGAAGCACUCUAUUUGAUUUUCUUCGGAAAUGAAGAUUUUGUGACUGAGUGGCGGACGGGUGAGUAACGCGUGGGUAACCUGCCUCAUACAGGGGGAUAACAGUUGGAAACGACUGCUAAUACCGCAUAAGCGCACAGGAUCGCAUGAUCCGGUGUGAAAAACUCCGGUGGUAUGAGAUGGACCCGCGUCUGAUUAGCCAGUUGGCAGGGUAACGGCCUACCAAAGCGACGAUCAGUAGCCGACCUGAGAGGGUGACCGGCCACAUUGGGACUGAGACACGGCCCAAACUCCUACGGGAGGCAGCAGUGGGGAAUAUUGCACAAUGGGGGAAACCCUGAUGCAGCGACGCCGCGUGAGCGAAGAAGUAUUUCGGUAUGUAAAGCUCUAUCAGCAGGGAAGAAGAAUGACGGUACCUGACUAAGAAGCAC
rnacentral:rRNA from 1 species